rnacentral:rRNA from 1 species
AAAGUCCCGCAAGGGAUAAGUAGAGUGGCAAACGCGCUGCUAAACGCGUGGGUGACCUGCCUUCGAGCGGGGGAUAACGUUCCGAAAGGGACGCUAAUACCGCAUAACAUCCUGCUUUUUAACAAGUGGAGAUCAAAGCUGGGGCUCGCAAGACCUAGCACUCGAAGAGGGGCCCGCGUCUGAUUAGCUAGUUGGUGAGGUAACGGCUCACCAAGGCGACGAUCAGUAUCCGGCCUGAGAGGGCGGACGGACACACUGGGACUGAGACACGGCCCAGACUCCUACGGGAGGCAGCAGUGGGGAAUUGUUCGCAAUGGGCGCAAGCCUGACGACGCAACGCCGCGUGGAGGAUGAAGAUCUUCGGGUCGUAAACUCCUUUCGAUCGAGACGAACGGCCUCCGGGUGAACAAUCCGGAGGAGUGACGGUACCGAGAGAAGAAGCCCCGGCUAACUCCGUGCCAGCAGCCGCGGUAAUACGGGGGGGGCAAGCGUUGUUCGGAAUUACUGGGCGUAAAGGGCUCGUAGGCGGCCAACUAAGUCAGACGUGAAAUCCCUCGGCUUAACCGGGGAACUGCGUCUGAUACUGGAUGGCUUGAGUGUAGGAGAGGGAUGCGGAAUUCCAGGUGUAGCGGUGAAAUGCGUAGAUAUCUGGAGGAACACCGGUGGCGAAGGCGGCAUCCUGGACUACUACUGACGCUGAGUGAGCGAAAGCCAGGGGAGCAAACGGGAUUAGAU